rnacentral:rRNA from 1 species
ACGCUCGACACCUACGGGGCAGCAGUGGGGAAUAUUGCACAAUGGGGGAAACCCUGAUGCAGCGACGCCGCGUGGAGGAAGAAGGUCUUCGGAUUGUAAACUCCUGUUGUUGGGGAAAAAGAGGAUGGUACCCAACAAGGAAGUGACGGCUAACUACGUGCCAGCACGCCGUAGGUAAUCUGAGGCGGGCGUGGACGAAGGC